GCCAGGAGGGGAGAGCAGAUAGACAGUUAGGGGGAUCAGGCCAGGAGGGGAGAGCAGAUAGGCAGUUAGGGGGAUCAGGCCAGGAGGGGAGAGCAGAUAGCUGGU